UGUGGCAGGUCGUUUGAUCCCUUUUCCAGCCUGAUCGUGCUGAACCGAUAGCAGAUAUGCUACCCCCUGCAGCCGCUACGCAGAGAGGAUGCUAACGGCCGAGUUGGCUGACAGACUGACAUUUUCCCUGGUGAGUGGCCCUCUGGCCAUGGUGCUGUGUAUCAGGGGACAGAGAACUGCAGAAAGCUGUGGAAUCGGCCUGCUGGCUGCGUUGCCACAGUAACCCCUGCUGGCGCAGGCGGGCCGUAGGGGUUCGGCUGGUCUUAUGGGAAGAGGGCAGGGACACCGCGCUGACUGAACCCCCCGCCCCCCACCCCUCACCCCCCUCCGGGAGACUUCCGCCUGCGGUCCAGAAUCAGCCCACACAGCCGCACGAGGAACCGCAUGAGCAGAGAGCGCGCGUUACGUAAUUCCCUGGCAUGAAAACAUCGUCAGCGCAGUCAGCAGUGACAGGGAAGGAAGGAGCGCUGCGCCGCGCUUCGCCGCGCUCGCGAUGUCCUUCGCCUCGCACGCGGCUCACCCCGCUCUCCGAGCGCCGAUGCCCGCGGAGCAUCGAGCCUGAUGCCCGCCUCUGACAUUCACCGCCUCCGCCGGCGACUCCGCUCGCGUCACUGAAGUCCUCUCCCUCACGGAAAUACAACAUGCUGCAGUAUACUGUAAAUAUUCUGGAUAUU